AUGUUCUCUCUCAUGGGAAGAGAAAGCCGUACAGCAACUACACCAGGGCAGAACCCUCCAUGGGAGAUGACAGCCUGUAAACUGCUGGGACUACCAGAAAACACAAUAAACACCGUGAACCACCGGAAGGAGCCCGCCAGCUGCAGAAAGGCAGCAAGAGGAUCAAAAGAGCAAUGUCCCAGGCAGAGUCUGUGCCCUCCCUGCAUAUGCAUGAAGCCCACAUCGCCUUUCAGGACUUUGUGCAAAAGUCCAAGAAACGCAAAGCUGCAAAGAAAUGCUGCCACCUAUAUGCUGCCCCAGUUUCCCCAGGCAAAGGGUGAUGAUGUGGUGAAGCCACUAAAUCCCUGCCAGCAGGGAUUUGGAUCCAGAAGCAGGCAAGAGCAUCAGAGCAGCUGUGCUGCUCUGGAUCAUAGCCCACCAUCCGAUGGCCCGUCACUGGCAGCUGGUGGAAGCGAGUGCCCAGGGAGGAGAGCAAAAGCGGGGUGAGCAGAGCUGGACUCAUCCACACUGUGCUUUCCUGGCCUCUAACCAUUCAAG
rnacentral:lncRNA from 1 species